rnacentral:tRNA from 1 species
GCGAAAUCGGCCGAAAAAUGGUCCUCUGCUUCCCAAGCAGAAUGUCGUGGGUUCGAGUCCCAUCACCCGCU